UGCAGUCGAACGAUGAUGCCCAGCUUGCUGGGUGGAUUAGUGGCGAACGGGUGAGUAACACGUGAGUAACCUGCCCCUGACUCUGGGAUAAGCGUUGGAAACGACGUCUAAUACUGGAUAUGACCGCCGAUCGCAUGGUCUGGUGGUGGAAAGAUUUUUUGGUUGGGGAUGGACUCGCGGCCUAUCAGCUUGUUGGUGAGGUAAUGGCUCACCAAGGCGACGACGGGUAGCCGGCCUGAGAGGGUGACCGGCCACACUGGGACUGAGACACGGCCCAGACUCCUACGGGAGGCAGCAGUGGGGAAUAUUGCACAAUGGGCGAAAGCCUGAUGCAGCAACGCCGCGUGAGGGAUGACGGCCUUCGGGUUGUAAACCUCUUUUAGUAGGGAAGAAGCGNAAGUGACGGUACCUGCAGAAAAAGCACCGGCUAACUACGUGCCAGCAGCCGCGGUAAUACGUAGGGUGCAAGCGUUGUNCCGGAAUUAUUGGGCGUAAAGAGCUCGUAGGCGGUUUGUCGCGUCUGCUGUGAAAUCCCGAGGCUCAACCUCGGGCUUGCAGUGGGUACGGGCAGACUAGAGUGCGGUAGGGGAGAUUGGAAUUCCUGGUGUAGCGGUGGAAUGCGCAGAUAUCAGGAGGAACACCGAUGGCGAAGGCAGAUCUCUGGGCCGUAACUGACGCUGAGGAGCGAAAGCGUGGGGAGCGAACAGGAUUAGAUACCCUGGUAGUCCACGCCGUAAACGUUGGGCGCUAGAUGUAGGGACCUUUCCACGGUUUCUGUGUCGUAGCUAACGCAUUAAGCGCCCCGCCUGGGGAGUACGGCCGCAAGGCUAAAACUCAAAGGAAUUGACGGGGGCCCGCACAAGCGGCGGAGCAUGCGGAUUAAUUCGAUGCAACGCGAAGAACCUUACCAAGGCUUGACAUACACCGGAAACGGCCAGAGAUGGUUGCCCCCUUGUGGUCGGUGUACAGGUGGUGCAUGGUUGUCGUCAGCUCGUGUCGUGAGAUGUUGGGUUAAGUCCCGCAACGAGCGCAACCCUCGUUCUAUGUUGCCAGCGCGUUAUGGCGGGGACUCAUAGGAGACUGCCGGGGUCAACUCGGAGGAAGGUGGGGAUGACGUCAAAUCAUCAUGCCCCUUAUGUCUUGGGCUUCACGCAUGCUACAAUGGCCGGUACAAAGGGCUGCGAUACCGUAAGGUGGAGCGAAUCCCAAAAAGCCGGUCUCAGUUCGGAUUGAGGUCUGCAACUCGACCUCAUGAAGUCGGAGUCGCUAGUAAUCGCAGAUCAGCAACGCUGCGGUGAAUACGUUCCCGGGCCUUGUACACACCGCCCGUCAAGUCAUGAAAGUCGGUAACACCCGAAGCCGGUGGCCUAACCC
rnacentral:rRNA from 1 species